UACGUAGGGACCAAGCGUUGUUCGGAUUUACUGGGCGUAAAGGGCGCGUAGGCGGCGCGGUAAGUCACUUGUGAAAUCUCUGAGCUUAACUCAGAACGGCCAAGUGAUACUGCAGUGCUAGAGUGUGGAAGGGGCAAUCGGAAUUCUUGGUGUAGCGGUGAAAUGCGUAGAUAUCUGGAGGAAUACCGGUGGCGAAGGCGGCAUCCUGGACCGGCAUUGACGCUGAGGAGCGAAAGCCAGGGGAGCAAAGCGGG
rnacentral:rRNA from 1 species